rnacentral:rRNA from 1 species
UACGUAGGGUGCAAGCGUUUGUCCGGAAUUAUUGGGCGUAAAGAGCUCGUAGGCGGCUUGUCACGUCGAUUGUGAAAGCCCGAGGCUUAACCUCGGGUCUGCAGUCGAUACGGGCUAGCUAGAGUGUGGUAGGGGAGAUCGGAAUUCCUGGUGUAGCGGUGAAAUGCGCAGAUAUCAGGAGGAACACCGGUGGCGAAGGCGGAUCUCUGGGCCAUUACUGACGUGGAGGAGCGAAAGCGUGGGGAGCGAACAGG